rnacentral:lncRNA from 1 species
CAGAGGCAGGUUAUCUUUCAGACUGUACUCUAGGGCAUGUGCUAAUUCAAAAAUCUUGUCCAUCUGAGCCUGACUGCUGACAAUUCCUUAGACAACAUUCUUUUUACACCAUCAGGCUACUCCUCUGACUGACAUUGAGUUAUCUUUCAGAGAACCGGAAAGAAAAGUCAUGUAGAGAUGCUGACUCUCUAGUGGAGAUGCACUUAGUGUAUUAAAGUUCUCCCAGGCUUCGGAGUAAAGAUGCACGCGUGUGCUUUCAUACACUGAUGGAACUUAGAAAAGGGCGCUCUGCUAUCAAUGCCCUAUAUUAAUGCCACGCAGAACAAGAUCUGGCAAGUGCCCUCCUCGUACGCUUGAGGAAAAGGUUAGACACCUCAUUACAAUGGACAAGUCUACAGACUCACUCACAUGAAACAAUGCUGAAUAUGGCUUUCCUCAGCGUUGGUGGCAACUCAAGUCACCCAAGCACCCUGCCACACAUGACCAUCCACACUUCAUCAUCAAAGCAGACAUGUGACCACUGCGCUCUCAGUAUCUGCCUGAAUAAAUCCUUGCAAGUCAUUCAGGAGGGAAGCACGAGCUUUGCACAGUUAGAGCACUGAGGCUGACUGGGAGAGCACUGUCUUUACUCGUCAGCUUUUGGACAAACCACCAGUUUACAGUUACUAACUGUGAACCUGCCUUUCUAGCUACUUAAGCCAAUACCGUACCUGUAAGGUCUCUCUGCAGACAUAGGCUAUUUGCAAUUCAGAUAAUGGUCCAGUAACUACAAAGAAAGAACAACAAAAGACAUACUGUCAUUUGAGGUUAACAUUAAAAUCAGUCUAGCUAUAAAAUGAUAAAGCAGCAUAUAACUUCUGCAUGUAUCACUGGAUGCCUUCUUUUCUGACUAAGAACAGAUAGCAUUUACAUAAUUUAAAUGAAACAAACACUGAGAAUUUUAAAGUCAAUUCUAAAAAUAAGAGCUUUAUUCCCAGACAGCUCUGGAGAGUGAACAUGUAAAAUGCCCAUUAUGUGUAAAACUUAGUGCACGUGGCUCACAUAGGUCCCCAGAGAGCCAGGACUGUCAGUUCAGUCCUCGCACAGUCUCAGGGACUAAACCAGGAGCAUGGCUGACCCUGUUCGUGAGUUACUGGCAGAGACACAGCACUGGAGGAGACCUGCUCCUGACCUCCGAGAACAUGCAUACACAGUGCAUGCUCACAUAUGCAAAACAGUCACAACACAAAACAAUAUGAAGACCUUAAAGUUUAGUCAGAAGUAGCCGUUUGGAAACUAGUCUAGGGGCUUCUUUAACAUGGUCUCUAUGCAUAACGAGGGCUGAAACCCCGAUGAGUAGAUGCUUGCGGAGUGCAAGUCUUCCCAUGGUUCUCAGAUCAGGGAGGCCUGGUUCAGAACCUUACCAACGAUCAAAAGGAACCAGAUGAUCUCUGGAAAGCAGAGCUUCCUCUAACAUGAAAUAGAAAAUCCUUAUGCAAGUAUCCCAUUGGAGCUUCGAAACAGUGCCUUUUGUACAUGAGAAGAAACUAGAGUGCUGCCUGCUGCUGCUGAGGCCCAACUAGAGCUGACGCGACAUCUCCGCAUAGAGAAAGACCUUGCUGCUUCGUUUCAUUUCUGACUGACCACAUCUACUCCCAGAAAUAAAUGCCUGAUCCUUAGUAAACUGAUAAAAGAGCAAU